GAUGAACGCUGGCGGCGUGCUUAACACAUGCAAGUCGAACGAUGAAGCCCAGCUUGCUGGGUGGAUUAGUGGCGAACGGGUGAGUAACACGUGAGUAACCUGCCCUUAACUCUGGGAUAAGCCUGGGAAACUGGGUCUAAUACCGGAUAGGAGCGUCCACCGCAUGGUGGGUGUUGGAAAGAUUUAUCGGUUUUGGAUGGACUCGCGGCCUAUCAGCUUGUUGGUGAGGUAAUGGCUCACCAAGGCGACGACGGGUAGCCGGCCUGAGAGGGUGACCGGCCACACUGGGACUGAGACACGGCCCAGACUCCUACGGGAGGCAGCAGUGGGGAAUAUUGCACAAUGGGCGCAAGCCUGAUGCAGCGACGCCGCGUGAGGGAUGACGGCCUUCGGGUUGUAAACCUCUUUCAGUAGGGAAGAAGCGAAAGUGACGGUACCUGCAGAAGAAGCACCGGCUAACUACGUGCCAGCAGCCGCGGUAAUACGUAGGGUGCGAGCGUUAUCCGGAAUUAUUGGGCGUAAAGAGCUCGUAGCGGUUUGUCGCGUCUGUCGUGAAAGUCCGGGGCUUACCCCGGAUCUGCGGUGGGUACGGGCAGACUAGAGUGCAGUAGGGGAGACUGGAAUUCCUGGUGUAGCGGUGGAAUGCGCAGAUAUCAGGAGGAACACCGAUGGCGAAGGCAGGUCUCUGGGCUGUAACUGACGCUGAGGAGCGAAAGCAUGGGGAGCGAACAGGAUUAGAUACCCUGGUAGUCCAUGCCGUAAACGUUGGGCACUAGGUGCGGGGACCAUUCCACGGUUUCCGCGCCGCAGCUAACGCAUUAAGUGCCCCGCCUGGGGAGUACGGCCGCAAGGCUAAAACUCAAAGGAAUUGACGGGGGCCCGCACAAGCGGCGGAGCAUGCGGAUUAAUUCGAUGCAACGCGAAGAACCUUACCAAGGCUUGACAUGUUCUCGAUCGCCGUAGAGAUACGGUUUCCCCUUUGGGGCGGGUUCACAGGUGGUGCAUGGUUGUCGUCAGCUCGUGUCGUGAGAUGUUGGGUUAAGUCCCGCAACGAGCGCAACCCUCGUUCCAUGUUGCCAGCACGUAAUGGUGGGGACUCAUGGGAGACUGCCGGGGUCAACUCGGAGGAAGGUGAGGACGACGUCAAAUCAUCAUGCCCCUUAUGUCUUGGGCUUCACGCAUGCUACAAUGGCCGGUACAAUGGGUUGCGAUACUGUGAGGUGGAGCUAAUCCCAAAAAGCCGGUCUCAGUUCGGAUUGGGGUCUGCAACUCGACCCCAUGAAGUCGGAGUCGCUAGUAAUCGCAGAUCAGCAACGCUGCGGUGAAUACGUUCCCGGGCCU
rnacentral:rRNA from 1 species